rnacentral:rRNA from 1 species
UACGUGAGGGGCGAACGUUGUUCGGAAUUACUGGGCGUAAAGGGUUUGUAGGUGGUCUGCUAAGUCAGACGUGAAAUCCCUCAGCUUAACUGGGGAACUGCGUCUGAUACUGGCGGACUUGAGGACAGGAGAGGAACGCGGAAUUCCAGGUGUAGCGGUGAAAUGCGUAGAUAUCUGGAGGAACACCGGUGGCGAAGGCGGCGUUCUGGACUGUUUCUGACACUGAAAAACGAAAGCCAGGGGAGCAAACGGG